UACAGAGGAGCCAAGCGUUGUCCGGAUUUACUGGGCGUAAAGGGCGCGUAGGCGGCCACCGCAAGUCGACUGUGAAAUCUCCGGGCUUAACCCGGAAAGGUCAGCCGAUACUGCGGGGCUAGAGUGCAGAAGGGGCAACUGGAAUUCUCGGUGUAGCGGUGAAAUGCGUAGAUAUCGAGAGGAACACCUGCGGCGAAGGCGGGUUGCUGGGCUGACACUGACGCUGAGGCGCGAAAGCUAGGGGAGCGAACGGG
rnacentral:rRNA from 1 species